rnacentral:lncRNA from 1 species
AUGUUCUUUCCUCCUGAAAAAAGUUUUCCUUGGGCAGGCUCUGAUUCAGCUAGGUGUUUAAUGCAUUAUGCAGGUGUCUGUAUGAAGAGGGACACAAACUCCCUAGUGACACUCAGGCUGCCUACACAGGAUCUGUGAUGGAGAACAUGGAGCUUGGACUGGAGGCAUCUCCUGAGGGUCACCAGGAAGAUCUGAUCAGGCAUAAAUGGCAAGCAGCAAAUUAUAAACUGAAGCUGUGUAUCCAAACAAGCAAGAAAAGAGCGUCUCAAGAAAAGCCACAGGUUGGGAAUCUGAUUUUUCUAAAUCAUAAAUAAUGUAUUUCAUCUGGCUUUUCUGAUCAGGGGUUUCAGCUCUAAAGGGCAUGCUGGGCAGAGCUGAUGGGCAGAACCAAAAAGAUAAGCCAUGUAAAUGACAUGAGCUGCAAAGAGGAUUUCAUCUUUUCUGGAAGGCGGGGGGAAUCCUUCAUCGAAUGUGUAAAAUUUCUUUAAUAACUAGACCUGGCAGGGAAAUGCAUGGAGUUCCUGCAGUGAUAAUCGGUGCUUCAGGUCUCUACAAUAGCCAGCAAACCAAAAGAUUUGUGUUUACCUAGUUCCUUCAGGAGGACUUGAACACAUGAAUGCAUUCGCGCCAAAUAAGGACACAUACAGAGGAAAAAAAAUCCA